CCCUGUCACAUAAGUUAAAAUGUUCUUUAAUGAUUACAUCUCAUAAACGAUUUAUUUUCCCAGAAAAUAUUUUGAAACCAAAUUAGAUAGUUUAACUUUUUUAUGAUUGAUAUCUGAAUUCUUAAUUUGUGAAAUUUUGAGACACUUUGUAGAUUGUGGUUUUAUUCUAUUUUGAUAAUACAUUGCCUCUUAAGUGUCCAUUUGGCAAGCAUUCUAGGAAAUACUAAUGUUCUAAAGUCACAGAUGCAGUUCUAUUUAAAAAAAAAAAAUCUCAUUGUAAGGUAGCAACCAUUGAACCAGGCCUCUCAAAAAUCUAGCAUAAUAAUAUUGUAUGUAGUACUUUAGAUGAUAUGUUUGGUGUCUAAAUUUAUUGUAAUGAGCCUUCUGGCUUAUUGUUGAGUACCUUCCCCUCUCCCUGGCUGAGCUAGAGGGAAAGGAUCUAACCAGUAGAGGGCUCUGCUGCUCAGUUCAACAUGGAGCCACUAGCGGUUCUGUCAUCUCCAGAGUGCAGGAAAAUGAAGUAAUAUCCUGAGAUCAAAAGGAAUCAGGCUAGAGACACAGGCUGUGUAUGAGCUGAGCUGGAACAGCUUGUGAGCCUUUAGAGGGAAGAUCCUGGGUAGCAGGCAGUUUGAGAGGUAGAACUGAAAGCUGAGACUUAGGAGGUGAUGUAGCCUGUUGCUGAAAGAGGACUGCAAUAGCAUGUGACCUGCAAGCCAGUGGUAUGAGGAAAUUGCACUAUUGGUUGGCAAGAAGAUGGUGUAAAGGAAUCGCAAUGAGAUACGGUUACCUUAAUUUUUAUUGAUUUGAUUGUAAGAGUUUAAGUAACUGUGACAAAGAUAUUGGUCUGCUUUUUUUCUGGCAGCUCUAGAAAGGUAAUUCUCUGCUACUUCCUCAUAACCCAUAAUUGUUAAUGGGGAUCCAAGGAUAUGUCUACACUGCAGUGUAAGCUCAGACUCUGGCUCAAGCCCAAAUCCCACUUCCACCUACACACAAUUCUAUCGGAUUUGGGCCUGAGACUCAGGACCGUGUAGGGUGGAGGAUUUGAGCUUGGGUCCUUUGGGAGCUCAGGCCCAAACUCCAUUGUUCUGCAGCAUGAAUGCAGCUUGGGCAAGCCCCUCUGGACUCAGGCCCUCAGUCUGCCAACACUAUCCUGCAGUCUCAUUGGCUGGUGUUUUGUCCUCUCCAUCCCAAGCAUAGCAAAUUGAUUCAGCGGAAACAGAAGCACACCCCUUUCCCAGUUGUUCAAGUACAGUAAUUCUGUGUUUAACUUUUCCAUUUUAUUCUGACCGCUGAGAAGCAAAUGCAUUAAACUCUCUUCUGCAUUUGCAAUGGCAAUUGACGAGAAGAAGUCUUUUGACAAGUGUGCUGCCACCUGGUCAUGGGAGCACAGCUACAUUUUGGUGAAUCUGAUGUGAGGAGAGCAAAAAUUCUAGGAAUGACUACUUGUACCAGGAAACAGAGAAGUAACUGGCAGCCUUGGGGAUUCACCAGACCAGUGACCACUGCAGGGAGAGGAUUAAGUGGCUCAAGACCAACUAUUGGAAAGCCAGUGAUGAGAACCACACUUUUGGGAACUUGUCUCUAUCCUGAUGAGUUUGACUGGUGUCAAAGCAAAGCACAGAGCCACCAACUCUUUAUGACAGCUUGGCCAGCCGGGAUGGUGACUUUCUCACCCAUGAAUCCAGUAUAAGACUGGAGGGGAGCCAGCAGGCACAGGAUGAAGCUACUGAAGUAAUUUGCUGAAACCAACUCCCAAGGAGGCUUAGUCACUAGAGCAGCUGCAGAUCAUCCUGAGUGUCUACUUGGAGGAGCUUUUUGAUGCCACCCCUGGAGGAGCACCCUGCUGCAAAACUGGCAGCAGAAAUGCAAGAGACAGAAGUCAUCCUGGAGUGUGGUCCCUCAACCUGAAUUGGCCAUUCUGCCUCAGUAACUCAGGCACACUUAGGCCAAACUGAGUCUUGGAACCCUCAUGGAUAAGUUGAAGAGGAAGUGUUGCCUUGAUGAACUUAUGGUUGACAUUCUGGACAGGGCCAGCAAGCAGGUGCAGUACCAAAGAGAGAAGGAUUCACGUCAUGUGGAAAGGCACAAGCAGGCUGCAGAGCUUGAGGACAGAAUUGCAGUGAGGGAGCAUCACAGCUCCUGGAACAGGAGCAUCACUUGAGGGAAGAAGACCAAAUGUAGCAGAAAGACCUGUUUUGAGAGGCAGCUUUUGCUAAUGGCUGCAAGUGUGCAAACUCCUGUGGCGCCUGCUCCUCAGCCUGAGUCCCCUCCACAGUAGCACACACUACAGACCAGGAACACUUUGGACAGUUCCCUGGUUGGUUGGCAUAUGCAACUGAGACAUAAGAGCUGCUGGACAUGGAAAAUCUACCCACUUGCUGUCCUGCACCCCCAUCCAAGCCCCCUUUCCAUUGCAUACUUCAACCUCCGUGCUGACUCUGGCCCACCUGCAGGCCUCCACACCCGUGCAGUGGCACCAAGUGCAGUCUAAAGGAAGGGAAGGAAAAAAAUGCCAGAGGACACGGAAAAUUUAGGGGAUUGUUUGGAUAGCACUGGUUUUACUGUUUGCACUGUUCAGUGUUUGGUUUAUGCAUUUUGUUUUUAUUGGUUUUGGUGUUCUAAUGGCAGUUGUAAUGUAAAAUUUUGAGUUGUUUGUAAUACAUCCAUGUUCACAAAUAAAGGCUUUUAUUUAAUUAAGAAAA